rnacentral:lncRNA from 1 species
AUUUAUCUGUAGAAGUUUAAGCUGUAUAGAGCGAUACUAUUUUAAGAGUCUGGCUACAAUGCUAUCAAUGGUGCAAGGUACUUGGUGCUAUCAAGUUUUUUAUUGUUAAAUCUACUCUUUUUACCAUUUUCAACCCUUAGAUCGUACUAUUUUAUCAACUAUCCAUUAAACCCUAGGAUACUUAUCCUAACUGCACAUCCCUUCGUUCAAGAGUCGAAAAUUUAAUAAUAGUAAUGAUCAUGACUUGGAACCUUUAAUAGUAUUCUAGCCUAGU